rnacentral:rRNA from 1 species
ACGGGAGGCAGCAGCUAAGAAUAUUCCGCAAUGGACGAAAGUCUGACGGAGCGACGCCGCGUGGAUGAUGAAGGUCGGAAGAUUGUAAAAUCCUUUUAUGACUGAGGAAUAAGCAGUGUGAGAGAAACGCAUUGUGGUGACUGUAGGUCAUGAAUAAGCAACGGCUAAUUACGUGCCAGCAGCCGCGGUAACACGUAAGUUGCGAGCGUUGUUCGGAAUUAUUGGGCGUAAAGGGCAUGUAGGCGGUUUUGCAAGCUUGGUGUGAAAUUCCGGAGCUCAACUCCGGAACUGCGUUGAGAACUGCAUAACUAGAGUCACUGAGGGGCAAUCAGAAUUCCUGGUGUAGGGGUGAAAUCUGUAGAUAUCAGGAAGAAUACCAAUGGCGAAGGCAGGCUACCAGCAGAUGACUGACGCUGAGGUGCGAAGGUGCGGGGAGCAAACAGGAUUAGAUACCCUGGUA